rnacentral:rRNA from 1 species
GAUGAACGCUGGCGGCGUGCCUAAUACAUGCAAGUCGAGCGAACAGACGAGGAGCUUGCUCCUCUGACGUUAGCGGCGGACGGGUGAGUAACACGUGGAUAACCUACCUAUAAGACUGGGAUAACUUCGGGAAACCGGAGCUAAUACCGGAUAAUAUAUUGAACCGCAUGGUUCAAUAGUGAAAGACGGUUUUGCUGUCACUUAUAGAUGGAUCCGCGCCGCAUUAGCUAGUUGGUAAGGUAACGGCUUACCAAGGCAACGAUGCGUAGCCGACCUGAGAGGGUGAUCGGCCACACUGGAACUGAGACACGGUCCAGACUCCUACGGGAGGCAGCAGUAGGGAAUCUUCCGCAAUGGGCGAAAGCUUGACGGAGCAACGCCGCGUGAGUGAUGAAGGUCUUCGGAUCGUAAGACUCUGUUAUUAGGGAAGAACAAAUGUGUAAGUAACUAUGCACGUCUUGACGGUACCUAAUCAGAAAGCCACGGCUAACUACGUG